rnacentral:misc_RNA from 1 species
GAUGAAGAACGCAGCGAAAUGCGAUACUUGGUGUGAAUUGCAGAAUCCCGUGAACCAUCGAGUCUUUGAACGCAAGUUGCGCCCGAAGCCUCGGCUAAGGGCACGUCUGCCUGGGCGUCACGCAUCGCGUCUCCCCCAAACCGCCAAGGCGGAGGGGAAGGAAGAUGGCUUCCCGUGCCUCACCCGGGCGCGGUUGGCCUAAAUUUGGAGCCCGCGGCACUUAGCUCUCGCGGCGAUAGGUGGUGAACAAGGCCUUGGCCGUGCAAACAACCCGCUGCGAAGCUCUAUGUCACGUGCGCUCGUCGGACCCUUUGAAGUUGCCUUUGGUGACUUAAAACCUUUGCGACCCCAGGUCAGGCGGGGCUACCCGCUGAAUUUAAGCAUAUCAAAAGCGGAGGA